AUCAUUCCGAGGUUUGGUCUACCUCAGAGUAUUCAGUCAGAUAAUGGUCCCACCUUUAUUUCUCAGAUCACUCAACAGGUAUCCUUGAGCUUACAUAUCACCUGGCACCUACACAUCCUAUACCAUCCACAAUCCUCAGGAAAAGUAGAAAAAGCAAAUGGCCUCAUAAAGACACACCUUACAAAACUCACUUUAGAACUAUACCAAUCUUGGCCUCAACUUUUGCCCUUAGCCUUAGCUAAGCUCAGGGCACUUCCCCGGGCUCCUACUUUCUUAAGUCCUUUUGAACUUAUGUACGGCAGGCCAUUCUUACUCCACAAUCUUCCUGGCUCCCCCAAAUCUCUCUCCCCUGGCUGACUAUGUCCCAGUCCUCUCCUUCCUCCAACACCUGUUGCAACAACAUGCUGAUCUCUGCCUUCCACAACCCUCUGGAGAGGCCAAACCAGAUCCUCCCAUAUCCCCAGGAGAUCUAAUUUAUCUCAAAUGUUCUAAAUCCACAGGACUACAACCAAGGUGGAGUGGCCCCUAUCUGGUCUACUUGGCUACCCCUACAGUGGUCAAAGUUGCUGGACUCCCAUCCUGGUUUCACAUCACUCAGGCUAAAAGGGGCCCUCCCAGCCCUAAAUCUGAUCAUUCUGAGUGGUUAUCUCAUCUUCUGUCACCCACCUGUCUCCGUUUCACGAAGGCCUCACAGCCACAGUUAACAGGCUAAGUCAUGUUUUGUUAUCCAAUUUGGUUCCUAAUCUCUUACGCUCUAUUAAUGAUCAUUUUUACAGCAGGACUCUUGACAGUCUUUCCUAGAGACCCCACAUCAUGCGUAAGAUCAUCUUUAUAAUGUUCUAUGUGAUAACUGUUGUGGUUCUUUCUACCCUCAGCUGUCUGGUUAAACAUGACAUCCCUGAAAGCCUAAGCCCUUACCUUCCCUAUACUGGACAGCCAACGUCUCCCCUACUCCCCCUAUUUUUUCCAGCUCAACUCCUAGACCAGAGACAAGUUUUACACACCUACCCUCCUAACUUUUAUGCCUUCAGAUGGGGGAGUAAUCACCUCUCAUAAUUUCACUCCUUCUAACCUCACACUUAUUUUUCAGAAUUCUACCUCACCAUGAUAAUGAUCUUACCUCAACAUCAUCCUGAUAAAAUACCAUGUCUAAAUCAAAGUCUGACAUACGUACAUUCACCAGUGAAGUUGUCCUGGCUAAAACACCUGGCAUCAGCAUCUACCUGGGCAUCAACCAUCAUCCCAUCAACUCCCCUAGGCUCCAGUACAGUGCCCCCUGCCAGCAGGAAGUAGUUAAAGAGAGAAAUCUUUGCCCCUUUUCCUAAAAAUCAUAAGACGGGAUAUGAAAGGGUUGUUGACCCAGACCGCACACUGUAGCCAGAAAAAGCCUCAGCUGGAAUUAGGGAGCUCCUGUCUCCCCUGCCCCUAGAGAUUUACCUGUAACCCUAUACCCCCCCCCUUUGGAAUCUGCCCCUGGUGCCAAACGUGUGCCAAUGAAAUACCUGUGCAUCCCUAAUGGCCUUAAGGCACUGCCCUAAGCUUAGGCUACUUAUAUUCCCCCACACCAAGUGUCUGCGAGAGAGAGAUCACCAGAUUUCAGUGGCCAGCUGCCAGUCCUCUCUCUCCAUGUUCCCAGAAUAAAGGCCUCUUUUGUUUUAUA